rnacentral:rRNA from 1 species
AUACGUAGGGAGCAAGCGUUGUCCGGAUUUACUGGGCGUAAAGGGUGCGUAGGCGGCUCUGCAAGUCAGGCGUGAAAACCAUGGGCUUAACCCAUGGACUGCGUUUGAAACUGUGGAGCUUGAGUGAAGUAGAGGUAGGCGGAAUUCCCGGUGUAGCGGUGAAAUGCGUAGAGAUCGGGAGGAACACCAGUGGCGAAGGCGGCUUACUGGGCUUUAACUGACGCUGAGGCACGAAAGGAUGGGUAGCAACAAGGAUUAGAUACCUUGGUAGUCCAUGACGUAAACGAUGAUUACUAGGUGUGGGGGGUCUGACCCCUUCCGUGCCGGAGUUAACACAAUAAGUAACCCACCUGGGGAGUACGGCCGCAAGGUUGA